rnacentral:rRNA from 1 species
GGCCUUAGCGCGGUGGUCCCACCUGACCCCAUGCCGAACUCAGAAGUGAAACGCCGUAGCGCCGAUGGUAGUGUGGGGUCUCCCCAUGCGAGAGUAGGGAACU